UGAGCAACCCGCCCUUGACUCUGGAAUAACAGCUGGAAACAGCUGCUAAUACCGGAUAUGACCUCUUCCGACAUCGGGCGAGGUGGAAAGCUCCGGCGGUCAAGGAUGGGCUCGCGGCCUAUCAGCUAGUUGGUGAGGUAACGGCUCACCAAGGCUUCGACGGGUAGCCGGCCUGAGAGGCGACCGGCCACACUGGGACUGAGAUACCGGCCCAGACCUCCGUACGGGAGGNAGCG
rnacentral:rRNA from 1 species